AUUGAACGCUGGCGGCAGGCCUAAUACAUGCAAGUCGAGCGAGCGGCGGACGGGUGAGUAAUGUAUGGGGACUGCCCGAUAGAGGGGGAUAACUACUGGAAACGGUGGCUAAAACCGCAUACUAUCGGCUAACCCAUAGUGGCUUAGCUAGUAGGUGGGGUAAAGGCUCACCUAGGCGAAGAGCCCUAGCUGGUCUGCGAGGAUGAUCAGCCACACGGGGACUGAGACACGGCCCAGACUCCUACGGAGGCAGCAGUGGGGAAUAUUGCACAAUGGGCGCAAGCCUGAUGGAGCAAUGCCGCGUGUAUGAAGAAGGCCUUAGGGUCGUAAAGUACUGUCAGCGGGGAAGCGUUACCCGCAGAAGAAGCCACGGCUAACUCCGUGCCAGCAGCCGCGGUAAUUC
rnacentral:rRNA from 1 species